rnacentral:rRNA from 1 species
AACGAACGCUGGCGGCAGGCUUAACACAUGCAAGUCGAGCGCCCCGCAAGGGGAGCGGCAGACGGGUGAGUAACGCGUGGGAAUCUACCCAUCACUACGGAACAACUCCGGGAAACUGGAGCUAAUACCGUAUACGUCCUUCGGGAGAAAGAUUUAUCGGUGAUGGAUGAGCCCGCGUUGGAUUAGCUAGUUGGUGGGGUAAUGGCCCACCAAGGCGACGAUCCAUAGCUGGUCUGAGAGGAUGAUCAGCCACACUGGGACUGAGACACGGCCAAGACUCCAGCGGGGGGAAGGAGUGGGGAAGAUUGGAAAAUGGGGGCAAGCCGGAUCCAGCCAUGCGGCGUGAGGGAUGAAGGCCCUAGGGUUGUAAAGCGCUUUCACCGGUGAAGAUAAUGACGGUACCCGGAGAAGAAGCCCCGGCUAACUUCGUGCCAGCCGCCGCGGUAAGAC